rnacentral:rRNA from 1 species
GAUGAACGCUGGCGGCGUGCCUAAUACAUGCAAGUCGAGCGAACAGACGAGGAGCUUGCUCCUCUGACGUUAGCGGCGGACGGGUGAGUAACACGUGGAUAACCUACCUAUAAGACUGGGAUAACUUCGGGAAACCGGAGCUAAUACCGGAUAAUAUAUUGAACCGCAUGGUUCAAUAGUGAAAGACGGUUUUGCUGUCACUUAUAGAUGGAUCCGCGCCGCAUUAGCUAGUUGGUAAGGUAACGGCUUACCAAGGCAACGAUGCGUAGCCGACCUGAGAGAGGGGUGGCCCACACUGGAACUGAGCCACAGUAGAGAAACCCAUGGCAGGCAGACGCGGGGUGUUGGCAGCAGGGCGUGAAAGCCUGACACAGUGACAGUGCGUAAGAGAAAAAGGUCAUGUAACUUUAAACCUCUGAACGUAGCAAAACACAAAAGCGAAAGUUACUAAGCUGCCCGUGACGGUACCAAAACAUCAAGCCACCACUAACUACAUG